CUGAGCACGAGCCCUGUGCCUUGUGGUCCCUCGACUUGCCUGGCCCUGGGGUGCUUCCUGUCUCAUCUCUCUGGCCUCAACUGGAGGAUGCAGCUCCAGUUGAGAGUCAAAAAGUGGAUGACACUUGCUCCGGACGUAGCUGAAAGGAUGCAGGCGUGAGAGCUUCUCCUCCGAUGAACAACCAGGCUAAGGAUAAGCUGUUGUUGGAAGCCCCUCUGGUUCCAGGAGUGAUGAAGCACUGUGGGCGGCACCAUCUGAGUUCCAUGGGAGAGCUGGGUGCUGCGCACAGCUGGCCUCCACCCUCAGGGCCAGGAAGCCAAGUGCAGGACCCCUUCCAGGGAAAGAGCCUUGAAUCCCCAGCACCUACUUGCCUCCUUGCUUUCCCUCCCCUCUUUGCCCACACUUAAAAAUAAAGAUAGGAACGAAUUUCUUA